CCAAUAUUUCCUAUUUCCACCUCUCUUCUUACAGUUAGACGGCAUGUACCACGUCAUUAGCUCAGAUAUUAGUUAUGUAUCUCAUGUGUAAGUCAUGAAAAUCACAUAUGGUACCUCAUUGCCUAUAUUGAGACAAGGAGCUGUUGGUGGUGGUGGCGGUUUACGAACCUUACCUGGCCAUCCCCUACCUGUCUGGUGGUUACCUGACAAGAUAUUGUUAGUACUGAAUUACAUGUUUCCUAUUAAAGCAGAUAAGACUUUAUUUUCCUUCUAAGUAUCCAUGUAUACGUCAUUGUUAGAAAGUACGUCAUUACCGCCCUAGUUGUUUAUUUAUUUAUUUAUUAUUUUUAAUGUGUCAGGAGGUGGUUGUACAUGGAAGUCAGGUAUGUUUGGGUGAAAAGGAUAAUCGAGACUGUAAUAACUUAUAUGAUAAUCACAAAGAAAUAUUGUAUGUUGCCAGUCAGUGGGAUGGCUGUAAUUCUGUAAAUUUACCCCAGGUUAUUUGUCCUGGUGGAAGAAGGCAGUGACCCCCCCCCACAUACAUACGUACAAUGACAGUCUUAGGCCAUGUUGACAAAUCUAAAUGACAUGUGUUAGUGGUUUAUCAAGAUAGUUAAGACAAGAGUUCAGCAAAUCAUGGUAAUUAGGUAUGCAGGCUAAGACAAAAAAAAAGGAUAUUUCUUUAUGAAAGGUAAUUGAAUAGAUAGAAAAUGGAAGGCAUCAAUAUAUCUUUUUUUUACCAUAACUAAACCACUAAAUGUAAUUAUAUCUGUAAAUGUUGUAGACAAACAUGCAAGGUUUCUAUCAUAUUUUUCUUUUCAUAUAAAUAACAUACCAUGAUUUCAGAGCAAUAGUGUACACCACUCACAUAAACUAAAACUCCCCUUAAGGACACAAACCUAACCUGACCUGACCUAACCAUACACCUUAAUAGGAAGUGGAACCUCCAGGAUGUGGUCAGCCUCCUCUUCCCUAUCUUCUAAGGGUGCUGGCACCACUGAUUGUUCAGCACAAGGUCAGCUUUAGCAAAACACUGUGCGAUCUUAAGUAAUUACACCCAAGGUGUCUUGCUCAUGGAAUUGCACAAUGAAAUCCCAGUACUUAAAUUUGUAUCUACUGCGCGUGUCUGCCAUUGUGACGCUGAGUAUCCUUGUGGGUAGCCACCUGACUGCCAUUGCUAUGUAUAUGCGUAGAGUUUGGCUGAAAAUAAUUGACGUAUUGGCCAGAAGUAAAUCAUGUUCAAUGAUGUUCUAAUGUAUCAUUAAAAAAGACAGCCCUCCUCGGCUGAACUAAAAGUACAAGGCAGUAUGCACCAUUCCAUACCGGAAACCGACAUACUAACCCACGCUCUACCAAAUGAGCCAGUGCAGGGUUGAGAAAGUAGCGCAGAGUUCACUGGACUUGGAAAAAAUCCAAGACACGGCAUAUUCUUGCAGCCAUUACAGCCAUAUGAGACUCAAGAAAGGUUAUUACAUUUAGGGCAAGGGCACAGUGUGUUGUACAUAAUAUGUAAGUUUUGUUAUUGCACAUGACACAGACUUAUUACAAAGAGUAACCAAAAGGGGAAUCCAGAUCCACAGGUAUGUCAGAAUGGCUCUGUUGCAACUAUUGUUGGUUUACGGGAGUCUGAACCAAACAAGGCGCUCAAGCUUCUAUGAGUUUGAGCGCUGAUUGGCUUCUGUCAUAUAUUCUUAAGUCUGAAAUUUUAUUGUUUUAGUGUGUUUUCUAUUGAUUUUGCAGUUAGAGCAUUUCAUCUUAUCAUAAAUACUGAAAAGCAACAGUAAUCACAAUAUUCAAGCCUGUCAUAAGGAGUGAAGUAUUGGUAGAAGCAGAGUGGCUGACAUUGCCAUUUAGUACACAAGUUAAACAACACCAUACAUAUGUUGGUACACACUAUCUUCUGAGUGCAGUGGUAUUAUUAUUGUUUGUGACUAUUAUUAUACACUAGCUUAAGAGUAACCCAAGGGAGGUAGGGAGGGAGUGUGUACCCAUGCGGUGAAUAUGCAGUGAUAGUGCUACCUGACUUCUGUACUUGAUGCAUUCACUGUACAGUGCAUUCACUGAUAUAUUCCUUUGCUUCUUGUGAUAGGCCUCAAUGCUGUGAUUAGUAUUGGUGAUGAGAUAUCAGGCACUCUUGAGGGGUGACUUCAUUCUCUAAUAGUUCGGCAAAAUUUAAUUUAAUGGACAAAAUGUACAAAAAUAUUUAGUUCCUAUUUUCUCAUGUCUUUGUGUAUGUCUGCCCACAAUUAAGCAAGUAUAGUGUCUCUCUCUCUCUCUCUCUCUCUCUCUCUCUCUCUCUCUCUCUCUCUCUCUCUCUCUCUCUCUCUCUCUCUCUCUCUCUCUCUCUCUCUCUCUCUCUCUCUCUCUCUCUCUCUCUCUCUCUCUCUCUCUCUCUCUCUCUCUCUCUCUCUCUCUCUCUCUCUCUCUCUCUCUCUCUCUCUCUCUCUCUCUCUAUCUCUCUCUCAUUCAGUUGUAUAAAAACUUAGCAGGGAGAUAUGGCCCCUUUCUAUUAGAGCAUGCUAGUACUCUAGGAAAUAUUUAUAAAGCUUAGUAACUCUCUUUGACCAAUUUAAAACGAGUUUACACACAGCUGAAUGUAUGAAUUCUUUUAAUAGAUUAAUAAUUUUGUGUUCUGUCAUGUCAAUGAACUUAUUUCUUAAAAGUUACUUAUGGUAAUUAUUUAUUUUCAUUUAAGUUAAAGUUAGUUGUUAGUACAUUAAACAUUUGACAGUGUGGAAGCAUUUAUGUAGAUUCCACAUAGAAAAGUAGUCAUUAUUCUUUUCUAGCAAUGAAAAAAAAAGAGAAUACUUUGAAUUGGUGUCCUGCACAACACAGAAGAUUGGGCAUGGAUGUUUCAUAGCUCACCUUCUUGUGUCCCUCUUAGUGAUGUGGAAGGGCUGUCCUGCACUCCUCUGUCUGAGUAGAACAUUUCUGUCUUAGAUGAAUGUAGUUCUUUAGUAGUGGGUAAGUGUUGGUUGCUGGUGCACUGGCAGUAGAAGAUUCCAUUAAUUUUGAGGUAAGAUGAAUAAAUGAACAACUGAACUCAUUCAUAUAUUUUAUGCACUAGCAAGGCCCUUUUGAUCUGAAAACAGUAUCUUGCUUAAGGAGAAUUCAUGUACACUGCUCUGCAGUGUUAGUGGUUUCACCAUUUUCAGAUUCAUAUAUUCAUAAAUUUUUCCCAUGGUAUUAAGACAGCCUUAAAAUUAUUUUCACUCAUUACAAGCAUUCACAGGCCAUUAUAAAAAGUAAGAAAUCAGUCAUCAACUUUACUGUUAAACUGUGCUGUGAUUUACAUAAACUUGUAACACUUAACCAUUUAAAUUGGUUUACUGUUAUAGUAGAUCUGGACUAACUUGGUACAUGGGGUGUUGGCUGUACCUGUCAACACUGUUGCUACAAGUGUCCAUGAAUGAAUGACCUUAACUGGGCCAGCAGCAGGCCAGCUAAAAGUCAUCAUAUAUACUCAGGGCAGCUUGUCUGGCAGCCUUUUCGGGCCAAACUGAGUGUGCGGGGGUUGGGUCAGUAUCUGGUUUGGGGCAGAAAGAGGCUGCUGUUCAGCAGCCUGAACGGAUCUGUCACUGCUUGAUUUUUCAGGCCGGGCCAGGGUCAGGUCAGGAGCGUCAGUUUGGAGUGGAGUGGCCAUCCUGCCAGCCUGCUGCAACGGUAUCUAGGCAGAAAUGAGUGCAGGCCUUCAGGCCACCUGAAUCGUGUAUGGCUGCUAUUUUGUUUUUGUGAGGCUGGCUUGUUCAGACUACCAGACAGGUCAGCCUGAGUGUGUAUACCAGCCUUAGGCUGGGAGCAGAUGAGCAACUUUGUGUCCACGAUGCUGUGUCGCUACACUGAAUUGUGUUUAGGCAACUGUGUCUUGACUGACCAACACCAUGAGUCGCCCAUGUGUAUGGAAAGAGCAACACCAGUGCAUCAUGCGUUGUUUUUUCCUGCAGAAUCUGAAGCUGGACAGGAAGAUGUCACACAUCUCCCAUGCCUUGGCUUUUGCUGUCUUAUUGUUGCUGUCAUUGCAGUGUACAUCCCAUAUCAAUGGUCAUUCUUCAAUUUCAGUAAUGAAGGGAUCUAUGUCGAGUGUAGACAUGGUAUAAUAAAGGUGAAGUAAAGAGAAAAA